AAGCAGUGUACCAGAUCCAGCACCUCGGCCGCCCCGGCGGCACCGUGCUGUAUAUCCCCGCCGGCGUCUGGCUUACCGGGCCGUUCAAUCUCACCUCGCACAUGACGCUCUUCCUUGCCCGCGGCGCCGUUAUCAGAGCUGUGCAGGAUACGGAGAGCUGGCCGUUGAUUGAUCCGUUGCCCUCGUAUGGGAGAGGGAGGG
rnacentral:misc_RNA from 1 species